UUGGGUCCGAAGCUGUGGAAAAAACACGGGCCUGCAGGCUGGGAAGAGAGUAGAAAUGGGCGUCUCAAGCUGAGUUGAGGAGGAGUUUGAAGCUUUGGUCCAGCGAGACAUAUGAUGCGUUAGAGAGUGUGUGUAUUGGAUUGAGAUCAAUUAAAGGGGUGGAAAAGAUGUCUAAUUAUAUGAUCAGUAGUGGGUUUGGUCCAGAUGAGUAUUUGGGGAACAAGUUCUUGUUGAUGCAAAUAAAAUACGGGAUGAGGAUUGAUGCACAUGAACUGUUUGAUGAAAUGCCAAUAAAGAACGUUUUAUAGUUUUUAACACCCCUGCACAUGAUUCUCCCAUUCAUAUUAUAUUUGCUUCAAAUCUCGGAAGCGACCGCCACUAGCGACGUUGAGCCGGAGCUCCUCGCCGGUGGCGACGAGGAGAUCGCCAAGCUGCAAGCUUGCAUGGGGAGGUGCCUGUAGCUGCUAUUGGUCUUGGAGGUUUGGGCCACCAUGCUAGUGGAUUUGGGCCUGAGAUGAAGCCCCAAACCCAAAUAUGAUGGUGAAAAGGCUUGGGUCCUUUUGCUAAUGGAUGUGGGUUUGGGAUGAAGCUCAAAUCCAAGCUUGAUGAUGGAAGGCCCCCAUGAUUUGUCUAUCCACUUUAAGAUUGGCCCAUACUCAUUUCAAGCUGGCCCAUCUGGUUGUUUCCACUAUAUAGUUCACUUUCUCUAA